CUAAAAAGUGUUAAUGGGAAAAAGCAAAAAGUGGAUGGCGUGGUGCCAGUAAGAUGGUAUCGAUAUGAUCUAGUCUCAAUUAAGUUAAUCGCAGACGAUAAAUAAAACCUGUAAACAAUUUCUGUCUGUAUUUACUUGUUCAAGUGCCAGUGAAACGAACAAUAGAAAAGAAGAAGCAGUAGGCUCGCAUUUUUUUAAAUAUAUUUUUAAAUGAUCUGAAUAAUUUUAUUGUUUUUAUUUAGUUGAAUGAUGAAAUUAUUUAUAAAAAAGAUUGACUCUUUAACUUUUAUGUUAAAUUUGUUAUUUCCUUGUUAACUGUUGUCUGUCGUUAAAAAAGCAGAAGCUUUUGGUUUGGAUACAAAAGACCAAGUGAAAAUGAUACUGGAAAGGUACACUUUCUUAUAUCUAAACAUCAUUGCAGCUUUCUAGUCUUCAUUUUUUGUUUAAGUGUAUUUCAUCUGUGUUGCUAAUGAUAUCGCCAGUUUUUAUAAUUUUAUGUAGUUAAGUAAAGCAUCAUUAUGUUUCAGGCUAAAAUAGAGCUUUGAUUAAUACUUUUAUUCAGUUUAAAUGAGUAACCACUCUCAAGGUGUAUUAGGUGAAUUAUCUUUUUGUUUUCAUAGUUUUUAGUCAAUAACGGAUUUUUAAAUUGUUCUACAAUUUUUUGACUUUGAGUCUACAACACUAAAUUUCAGGGAAAUUCAAUUAAAAAGUGAUGUCACAGAAGACAGAAAAAUAUCAAUAUCUGUUUUCAGUAACUUGGUUUUCAUAGCAAAUCUGAUAGACUGUUUACUCCUGUCCUAAUCUAACCUAGUGGGUUCAAAGAGAAAGGAACGCGCUGGAAACACAAGGGGGUUAAAAUGAUUAGCCUUUUUUGAAUUAAUAGUCGCUCGUAUGAAAGGAUUUCUCGACGUGAAACAGUUAAUUUUAUUCAACAACGCCAAAA